ensembl:lncRNA
AGUGCACUACUCCAUGCACACUCCCUCCCUCGUUACCGCCUCGCCUCGCCUCGCCUCGCCUGCUGCCUCCCAGCCGCCAGCAAGUUCGCCUCACGCUUCCUCCUUCGCUUUCGUCCUUUCUUUCUCCUCAACAACAACAAAAAAAUCCCACAUCGCUCCUGCUGAAAGCUGCCGAGCUGAGCGACAGCUGGGAGGAGAAGUAAACUUGGUGGCUGAAGAAAAAGCUCCGCAGACAACACCAGUGAGUGGGACGCGGCUGGUUAUAGAAAUGAUUGUGGGCUUAUUUACGUGUUUGAGUUUGCUUUAAACCGAGGGGCCGAGCUACAACAUUCAGCACUUUCCCCUCCUCCUCCUCCUCCUCACUACCCCUCCGUGAGCAAAAACAAGAGGUCUGCACAGAGGAACUAAAGGAGACCGCGGAGGGCUACAAUGAGAAGAAAAGACACAGGAGAGACAGGAGGGACAAGAAUGCGACUCAAGUAGAAGACAGCGGACGCACAUCACCUCAAAGUGCCUGGAUGUGCUGGAUGCUGCAGCAGCCUCGUGCCGGCGCAUGCUUUUCCCCACACUGCUGUUCCCUGCAGCCCUGACUGUGUAAGUGUAUCUGUGAUUGCGCUUGGCCUUGACUCGGGCUGUGUUUCACUCUGCGAAGCAAACAGUCCUUCGGCCCGUUUGCUGUUCCUCGAU